GAAACAAAAGAACCCCUUAUCCCUCUUUUGCAGAAACCCUAGCGUCAAAAUCUCUUAGCCAAUCUCUAAGCCAAUUCCUUCUUCUUCCCUUCAAUGCACAGCGAUCUACAAGAAGUGAAGAAGUUUGUUCAGAGUAUGCCAAGACACUCUAUUUAGGUCAAUGAUGUUGCUUCAGUUGCACUCAUUCCAACUCCAGUUUCAGUUUCAACAAAUCCAAAGUGGCUACUGAACUCGCAUUAAAAUACAUUACACUUAGACCUUUCAGCUGGGAUCAAGAUACUGACAAAGUCAAGGGUAAUACCAACGGUUCUAGGAACAAAACCAGAAUUACUCAGACAAUUUAUGUGUUCUUUUGAACGAAGAUAGAAUCUUGAUUAUAAAAAAGAACUCCAAAUCUAAUGAAUCUGUAUGGUUUCUUGAGGUAAGUAUUCACAUUUAUUGAUCUUGAAAUGAUAGCGUUCAUUAGGUUUUAUUAGGUGGACACACAAUUUAGACGAGAACAAAAAAGUUUGAAACAAAAGUUGUUGCUUGGAGUAAGGGGUUAUUGGUAAUGCUGAGCGGCCCAUAGUAAUUAGUAGCCCGUGUAUGUCGGGUUUGUAAUAUGUCAAAAACGUUUUGUCAAGUGAUGGUUUGAUUUGAAUUCACUAAAUUUUAUGGUUUGCAAGUAUAUCAUGAAGAUAUGAAGAUGUUUUGAUGAUGAUACCAAGUUUAAACCACUAUAACUAAAUGAAAUUAUUCUGACUUAUUUAGAGAUGUAUGAACAAUUUAUAUAUUUUGUUUAAAAAUUAUGUGUAUUUAAUUUUCAACUUAUUUAAGUUAAUAUAUUUUAUUUCACUUGAUUAUAAAUUAAAGCUGUAUAAUAUUUUCAUUUGUUAAACCGCGUGUGUACGCGGGCUCUAACCUAGUAUAUAUUAAACCAUAUCAUGUUAGCUACAUGAGCUUUUUUAUAUUUGUUUUUAGCUAUAAUUUUUUUUUAACUUUUUUUGUUUUACCACUAAAGUAUCACAUGUUUGCUAUAUGUAUUAUAUAAAUAAAUAUCAUAAAAUAAUAAUACACUCUUAUAUCAAAUCUUUUCGGCUUUAGAUAUUUAUGAUGAUUAUUAUUGGUGAAACAUAAGUGGUUAAAACUUAAAAAUUUAAUUUAUUUUGAUUUUACGUCAUCUAUAUUAUUUUUUUACACUUCUAUUUAUUGAACCGUUUAUUGUAUAUUAAAUAACAUCACAAAAAUAAUUAUAGCCGCUACAUUGUUUUUUUUUUUUUUGAGUUUUUUUAUGUUUGUUUUUUAGCUACAAUUUUUUUUUUUUUUUGAUUUACCAGUAAAGUAUCACAUGUUUGCUAUAUGUAUUAUAUAAAUAAAUAUCAUAAAAUAAUAAUACACUCUUAUAUCAAAUUUUUUCGGCUUUAUAUUUUUUAUGAUCAUUAUUAUUAUUGGUGAAACAUAAGUGGUUAAAAAUUAAAAAUAUUAAUUUAUUUUGCUUUUACGUCGUCUAUACUUAUAUUUAUUAAACCGUUUAUUUUAUAUUAAAUAAUAUCACAAAAAUAACUAUAGCCACUAUAUUGUUUUUUUUUAAAGUUAUUUUUUAUGUUUGCUUUUUAGCUACAACUUGUUUUUACUUUAUUGUUUUACCACUAAAGUAUCACAUGUUUGCUAUAUGUAUUAUAUAAAUAAAUAUCACAAAAUAAUAAUACACUCUUAUAUCAAAUCUUUUCGAUUUUAGAUUUUUUAUGAUCGUUAUUAUCGGUGAAACAUAAGUAGUUAAAAAUUAAAAAUGUUAAUUUAUUUUGAUUUACAUCGUCUAUAUUAUUUUUUUACACUUCUAUUUAUUAUACCGUUUAUUUUAUAUUAGAUAACAUCACAAAAAUAACUAUAGCCGCUACAUUGUUUUUUUUUUAAGUUUCAAAUCAAUGCUUAUACAAUAAAUAAUAUACGCUUUUAGCCAAUAAUUUCAUUUUUAUCUUAUAACUUUCGGAUGUCAGCUUUUUUAGAAAAAAACUAAAUAAGCGAUGUGAAUUCUUAUGAAAACGGCGCAAUUUGGGUCGCUACAUCACGUCACCACAUGUUUCUUUUAAUUGCUAUAAUUUAUUUUGUUUUUGUUGUUACAUUUAUAUAUUGCAACUUCGUAGAGUUUGGUUCGUCCAAAGAUUUCACACCAUGCGAUGGGAAAAUCCUAAUUAAGGUUUAAACAUUGGGAUUUUUGUGGGUGAACAAUAAAUCGAAAAUUCCAUUCCUUAAAUGAGAUUGUUGGUGUAAUUUUUAAUUUUUGUAAUCCGUCCCGUACAUUUAUAUAAUAUCAAUUUGAAACACAUGUUGGCAUCAAGGGUUGUAUUAUAUAUUUCAUGGGUUGUACUUAACAUAUGUUGACAUCAAGGGUUAUACCAUAAGUUUGAUGAGUUGUACUUAUAUUUUUGUU
rnacentral:lncRNA from 1 species